GGCUGGAGAUGUGGCUGAGUGGUAGAGUGCUUGCCUGGCAUGUAAGAGGCCCUGGGUUCAAUCCCCAGCAUGGCCA